GAACGGUGCUAGGGCACAAUUUGGGAUAGGGGGCCAGAGCGCAACAAUAAACCAGAGAGUGAAAAGACGUGUCCUAAUUGGCACCAUAUUCCCCACCUCCAGGCUGUGUAAGGGCUAUUUGACCAAGAAGGAGAGUGAUGCAUCAGAUGAUCUCAACCCAAUUGAGAUGGUUUGGGAUGAGUUGGACUGCAGAGUGAAGGAAAAGCAGCCAACAAGUGCUCAGCAUAUGUGGGAACACUUUCAAGACUGUUGGAACAGCAUUCCAGGUGAAGCUGGUCGAGAGAAUGCAAAGAGUGUGCAAAGCUGUCAUCAAGGCAAAGGGUGGCUACUUUUUCUGGUUACUACAUGAGUUAUUUCAUAGUUUUUGAUGUCUUCACAAUUAUUCUACAAUGUAGAAAAUAGUACAAAUAAAGAAAACCCCUGAAAUGAGUAGGUGUGUCCAAACUUUUGACUGGUACUGUAUAUGAUGAUGUAGCACAGCACCUCAUCACAUGACCAGACAGGCUGAUUUGAGUCUCUGUUUGCUAACAAACAGAACUUCAAUCAAAAGUGAAUGAAUAUCUAUUGUGAAUUUUAACAUGGGCCAGUCAGCAAUGUAGAUACACUACAUGAUCAAAAGUAUGUGGACACCUGCUAUUGAACAUUUCUUUCAAAAAUCAUGGGCAUUAAUAUGGAGUUGGUCCCCCUUUUACUGCUAUAACAGCCUCCACUCUUCUGGGAAGGCUUUCCACUAGAUGUUGGAACAUUGCUGCUAUAACAGCCUCCACUCUUCUGGGAAGGCUUUCCACUAGAUGUUGGAACAUUGCUGCCAUAACAGCCUCCACUCUUCUGGGAAGGCUUUCCACUAGAUGUUGGAACAUUGCUGCGGGGACUUGCUUCCAUUCAGCCACAAGAGCAUUAAUGAGGUCUGGUACUGAUGUUUGGUGGUUAGGCCUGGCUAACAGUCGACGUUCUAAUUCAUCCCAAAGGUAUUUGAUGAGGUUGAGGUCAGGGCUCUGGCCAGUCAAGUUUUUCCACACGGAUCUCGCUUUGUGCACGGGGGAAUUGUCAUGCCGAAACAGGAAAGGGCAUUCUCCAAACUGUUGCCACAAAGUUGGAAGCACAGAAUCGUCUAGAAUGUCCUUGUAUGCUGUAGUGUUAAUAUUUCCCUUCAGUGGAACUAAGGGGCCUGAACCAUGAAAAACAGCCCCAGACCAUUAUUCCUCCUCCACCAAACUUUAGUUUACACUAUGCAUUGGGACAGAUAGCGUUCUCCUGGCAUCCGCCAAACCCAGAUUCGUCCGUCAGACUGCCAGAUGGUGAAGUGUGAUUCAUCACUCCAGAGAACGUGUUUCCACUGCUCCAGAGUCCAAUGGUGGUGAGCUUUACACCACUCCAGAUGAUACUUGUCAUUGCGCAUGGUGAUCUUAGGCUUGUGUGCGGCUGCUCUGCCAUGGAAACCCAUUUCAUGAAGCUCCUGAUGAACCGUUCUUGUGCUGAGUUUGCUUCCAAAGGCAGUUUGGAACUCGGUAGUGAGUGUUGCAACCGAGGACAGAUGAUUUGUAUAUGCUACCCACUUCAGCACUCGGCUAUCCCGUUCUGUGAGCUUUUGUGGGCUACCACUUCGCUGCUGAGCCGUUGUUGCUCCUAGACGUUUCCAUUUCACAAUAACAGCACUUACAGUUGACCGGGGGGCAGCUCUGGCAGGGCAGAAAUGUGACAAACUGACUUGUUGGUGCCACGUUGAAAGUCACUGAGCUCUUCAGUAAGGCCAUUCUACAGCCAAUGUUUGUCUAUGGAGAUUGCAUGUCUGUGUGCUCGAUUUUAUACACCUGUCAGCAACAGGUGUGGCUGAAAUAGCCGAAUCCACAUACUCUUGUGUAUAUAUAGUGUAUAUUGUUAAUAUUAUGAUUAAAGUAUUGAAAUGUGAUUGUCAUGGCAUCAACAUAUAAUUACGGUGUAAUCUGAGGGAUUAAAGUGAGAAAUAAAAAUGUUUAUUACGUGUAAUCUGAGGGAUUAAAGUGAGAAAUAAAAAUGUUUAUUACGUGUAAUCUGAGGGAUUAAAGUGAGAAAUAAAAAUGUUUAUUACGUGUAAUCUGACGGAUUAAAGUGAGAAAUAAAAAUGUUUAUUACGUGUAAUCUGACGGAUUAAAGUGAGAAAUAAACAUUAUGGUGUAAUCUGAGGGAUUAAAAUGAAAAAUAAAAAUGUUUAUUACGGUGUAAUCUGAGGGAUUAAAGUGAGAAAUAAAAAUGUUUAUUACGUGUAAUCUGAGGGAUUAAAGUGAGAAAUAAAAAUGUUUAUUACGUGUAAUCUGAGGGAUUAAAGUGAGAAAUAAAAAUGUUUAUUACGUGUAAUCUGAGGGAUUAAAGUGAGAAAUAAAAAUGUUUAUUACGUGUAAUCUGACGGAUUAAAGUGAGAAAUAAACAUUAUGGUGUAAUCUGAGGGAUUAAAAUGAAAAAUAAAAAUGUUUAUUACGGUGUAAUCUGAGGGAUUAAAGUGAGAAAUAAACAUUACGGUGUAAUCUGAGGGAUUAAAGUGAGAAAUAAACAUUAUGGUGUAA
ensembl:lncRNA